GUGAAUCAUCAAAUUUUUGAACGCAAAUUGCACUCUCUGGCAUUCCGGGGAGUAUGCCUGUUUGAGGGUCAGUUUAAAUAAAAAUCGAGGUGUUCCUUUUUUGUGACCCAGCGGACUUGGGUUAUCUUUGAUCUUUUAAAGGUUUAAGUGACCUAAAGUUGAUACCUUGCGCAUCUCAGACGUACAUAAGAAUAUUUUUUUAUCCAUCCGGAGUUACCAACUUUUAUUAGGUAUGACCAUAUUGUUUGUGGCAUCGUAUCUAUAAUCUAUACUCAUCUUUUGACCUCAA
rnacentral:misc_RNA from 1 species